UACGUAGGUGGCAAGCGUUGUCCGGAUUUAUUGGGCGUAAAGCGCGCGUAGGCUGUUGUGUAAGUUGGGGGUGAAAUCCCACGGCUCAACCGUGGAACAGCCCUUGAUACUGCGCGACUUGAAUCCGGGAGAGGGUGGCGGAAUUCCAGGUGUAGGAGUGAAAUCCGUAGAUAUCUGGAGGAACAUCAGUGGCGAAGGCGGCCACCUGGACCGGUAUUGACGCUGAGGCGCGAAAGCGUGGGGAGCAAACAGG
rnacentral:rRNA from 1 species